AUCCUGUUUAAUAAAUGUGUUUAAUAAGUAUCUCAAAGUCGAUCAUUUAUACUAGUCAGACGUGUACUUGAAACUGUCAGUCGGAUCUGGUUGACGUCGCGGAAUCAUGAUGAAUAAAUUGCUUCCUUAUUUGAAUAAAAUGCAAAGACAACUGAAAGUUGAUUGCACUCUGGCCAGACAAGCCAAUGCCAUUGUCGCUUGUUGAUAGACAAACAAACACACAACAACAAUGAAACAAAGGGCGAGAACGAAGCAGGAACCGGAGAUAUGUCAAGGAGAUCCAGCAUUUCUUAUCAACCACCGAACAUACGGACUGACGAAAAUGACUAAAUCGUCUCGGCUGUUGACGAUUAUCAAGAAUAUAUAUACUCUUGGAGUGGCAGAUGACUUCGGAUUUUUACGUACAUUUGCUGGACGCACAAAGUUAUAAUACCGGGAAUAAAAAUAAAUAGAAUGCAUUCAUAUUUAAGUGAAAAGUU